GGGGAUAUAGCUCAGUGGUAGAGUGUUUGACUGCAGCUCAGGAGGUCCCUGUUUCAAAUCCAAGUGUCCUCU